rnacentral:rRNA from 3 species
AAGGUGGGACAGAUGAUUAGGGUGAAGUCGUAACAAGGUAGCCGUAGGAGAACCUGCGGCUGGAUCACCUCCUUUCUAAGGAA